AAAGUACUCCCUCCGUCCCAAAAUUCUUGUCUUAGAUUUGUCUAGAUACGGAUGUAUCAAGUCACAUUUUAGUAUUAGAUACAUCCGUAUCUAGAUAAAUCUAAGACAAGAAAUUUGGGAUAGAGGGAGUAGUUG
rnacentral:pre_miRNA from 1 species